UUCCGGUUGAUCCUGCCGGACCCGACUGCUAUCGGAUUGAGAUUUAGCCAUGCGAGUCGAACGUCCCCCUGUUGCGGGGGGCGUGGCGUACGGCUCAGUAACACGUAGUCAACCUGCCCUGGAGACAAGGACAACCCCGGGAAACUGGGAUUAAUCCUUGAUAGGUCAUCUCAUCUGGAAGGAGAGAUGGCUUAAAGGGGUACGCGGGCUUCUUCCGCGAAUUCGCUCCAGGAUGGGACUGCGUCCGAUCAGGCUGUUGGCGGGGUAAUGGCCCACCAAACCUGUAACCGGUACGGGCCUUGAGAGAGGUGGCCCGGAGAUGGACACUGAGAGAAGGGUCCAGGUCCUACGGGGCGCAGCAGGCGCGAAACCUUCGCAAUGCGCGAAAGCGUGACGAGGUUAAUCCGAGUGACUUCCGCUGAGGAGGUCUUUUGUCAGCUGUAAAUAGGCAGGCGAAUAAGGGGAGGGCAAGCCUGGUGUCAGCCGCCGCGGUAAUACCAGCUCCUCGAGUGGUCGGGGCGAUUAUUGGGCCUAAAGCAUCCGUAGCCUGUUCUGUAGGUCUUCCGUUAAAUCCAGUAGCUUAACUAUUGGCAGGCGGAGGAUACCGCAGGACUAGGAGGCGGGAGAGGUGGGCGGUACUCUACGUGUAGGGGUAAAAUCCUUUGAUCCGUAGAAGACCACCAGUGGCGAAAGCGGCCCACCAGAACGCGCUCGACGGUGAGGGAUGAAAGCUGGGGGAGCGAACCGGAUUAGAUACCCGGGUAGUCCCAGCCGUAAACGAUGCGAGCUAGAUGAUCCAGUCGCAAAUCGCG
rnacentral:rRNA from 1 species